AUGAACGCUGGCGGCGUGCCUUACACCUGCAAGUCGAACGGAGUUCAGCCUUUAAGACCUGCGGGUCAAAGAGGGGAAGACUUAGUGGCGGACGGGUGAGUAACACUUUGGCAACCUGGCUCUUAGAGGGGGAUAACAUAGAGAAAUUUCUGCUAAUACGGCAUAAUCACACACUGCCGCAUGGCAGAGGGGGGAAAGACACGCGCUAGAAGAUGGACCUGCGGCUGAUUAGCCAGUUGGCAGGGUAAGAGCAUACCAAAGCUACGAGGAGUAGCCCACCUGGGUACAUGAACGGGCACCUUGGGCCUGCGGCACGGCCCAGUCUCCUACGGGAGGCAGCGGUGGGGGGUAUUGACCAAUGGGGCGAAGCCUGAUGCAGCGGCGCCGCGUGAGUGAAGAAGUAUUUCUGUAUGGAAAGAUCUAUCAGCAGGGGAGAUGAUGACAGUACCUGACGAAGAAGCCCCGGCUAACUACGUG
rnacentral:rRNA from 1 species